CACGUAGGGCGCGAGCGUUGUCCGGAAUUAUUGGGCGUAAAGAGCUCGUAGGCGGCCUGUUGCGUCCGCUGUGAAAGCCCCGGGGCUUAACCCCCGGGGUCGGCAGUGGAUACGGGGCAGGCUAGAGGUAGGUAGGGGAGAAUGGAAUUCCCGGUGUAGCGGUGAAAUGCGCAGAUAUUGGGAGGAACACCAGUGGCGAAGGCGGCUCACUGGACCGGAACUGACGCUGAGGCGCGAAAGCGUGGGGAGCAAACAGG
rnacentral:rRNA from 1 species